rnacentral:tRNA from 1 species
ACCGACCUUAGCUCAGUUGGUAGAGCGGAGGACUGUAGUGGGUAUCAUCUCAAAGCCAUCCUUAGGUCGCUGGUUCGAAUCCGGCAGGUCGGAUUAC